AAGCCAUGCAUGUCUAAGUUCAUUGACUUUGAACAGAGAAACUGCGAAUGGCUCAUUAUAACAGUCAUAAUUUCUUUGAUCGUUCCUUACCACAUGGAUAACCGUGGUAAUCCUAGAGCUAAUACAUGCAGAAAAGCCUCGACUUCCGGGAGGGGUGUAUUUAUUAGAUAAAAAACCAACGCAGGCAACUGCUUUCCUUGGUGAAUCAUGAUAACUGCUCGAAUUGUAUGGCUUCGUGCCGACAAUGGUUCAUUCAAAUCUCUGACCUAUCAACUUUCGAUGGUAGGAUAGUGGCCUACCAUGGUGACAACGGGUAACGGGGAAUUAGGGUUUGAUUCCGGAGAGGGAGCCUGAGAAACGGCUCCCGGACCUACGGGACACAGCAGGCGCGCAAAUUACCCAAUCCCAACACGGGGAGGUAGUGACAAGAAAUAACAAUACAGGGCUCUUUUGGGUCUUGUCAUUGGAAUGAGUACAAUUCAAAAACCUUAACGAGGACCAAUUGGAGGGCAAGUCUGGUGCCAGCAGCUGCGGUAAUUCCAGCUCCAAUAGCGUAUAUUAAAGUUGUUGCAGUUAAAAAGCUCGUAGUUGAACCUUAAAGUUUCUUGGUUGGGGUUGGCCUGGGUGUUCGGGGGAUCUUCCCUCGGGUGCUAUUCCAAACAGGUCAGUUUCCCAUUUUACCAGGGCUUUAAUCCUUGUCUGAGAGCUUGGAUGCACUUUAUUGUGUGUCCUGCGAGUCAGAACAUUUUACCUUGAGAAAAGAGUGGUCAAAGCAGCUUGU
rnacentral:rRNA from 1 species